UACAAGAGCAUCUCUCAAGAUGUAAGUGUCGCCAUCUAUAUGCGAAUUUAAUUAAAAUAUAGUAUUUGUUUAUGUGUCAGCUGUUGACAAACACGAGACAAAUGUGUUAGACCGGAAUUUGGACUUUCGUUUUUGAUUUAUGCGGCUUAACUACUUAUCAUUUGAGAUUUGAUAAAUUGGUUAAAUUCCAUUAUUGCACAUGAAUUGCAGUAAAGCAUUGGAGGCCAAGAUAGAUCAAAUAGUUACAUCAUUUUUAGGACCAAAUAAGAGGUCAAAAUUUGUUGUCAGCGAUGAUGAUACAAUACUUGUGAAUUGCCCCUUAAAGUUAUUGGAAAAUAUUAAUUUAGAGCAACCAACAAGCCAUAUUUUAUAUGAAUCUUUGUUAGCUUUUCAUAAUGAAUAUGGAUGUGGAGUAAACUCAUUCUUAUUAAUGUGGAGUGGUUGGUUUCGCUCUAUAAAGAAAUUGUUAGAGAGAGAACCAACUUAUGUAAACAUCUUUGAAGAAUUAAUAGCAGGAUUGGAAUAUGUCAUUAAUUUCAUAAAAAGUCAAGAAAUUUCCUUGUCAAAUGUAGUUCCUUUAGUUUAUAAACAUAUAAGAGAGAUAACUUUAACAGAUCAAUUAAAAGAUAGAAGUUCAAAUUUUUUAAGUGGCAUAUCUAUGAAAACUUUAUUUAAAACUGAAACCACAAAGAGCAUUAACAUAAUGAAACAAAGUCGUCAUUUAUGUCAAUUAUUAAAUGCAGAACUGUCUGAGGAAAAUCAUCAAUUAGAAGAGAGGGCAUUUAAAAAUUCAAAAAGGUUAAAUGACAACAUUAUAAAUGAACUGAGAUUUUUAUUAGAAAAAUUAUCUCAUGGUUGUGAUGCUCUUAUUCCAUUAAUUAUUGAUGUAUGGAAAAAACAGAUUCAAGAAUUUUUUUCUGUAAGAUUUAAAAAAGAAUUUAUCAUGACAUAUACCAUUCCUGGUCAGAGUUUUAGUUACAGUUUUGUUGUUGAUGGAAUUGUAGUCAAAUGUCAAGAAAAUUAUAGAACUCUUCUCAGUGAAAAUAAAUCUUACAAUGCAUUACUUGUUGGUGGUGAUGUUAUUCCAAAUUAUGUUCAUCUUGGUUUCACACCUAAAGUUAGUAUUGAAAAUAUUACAAAUGAAAUUCCUGUUACAAAUGAUUCAUGGUUAGAAAGAGUCAUAGACACCAUUAAAAAGCUGAGAGUGAGUUUAUUGCUUGUGCAAGGAAGAGUUAAUGAAGAUCUAAUUUAUUCUUUAAAAAAUUCAGUUAUUGUCGUUAAACAUGUUCCUUAUUCAACUUUAAAACUUCUCUCUGACUGUACUAAAGCAAACAUUGUGUCAUAUUUGGACAAUAGCAGAGAUAUAAAUACUUGUUCAGUUACAAUGGAAGAACUUCACACAAAUAAAGAUGUUAAAAAUGGAUGUAAGCAUAUUGUUAUUAAAGUUGCAAAUAAUUUCAUUCAGACUGUAGUCAUCUACCAUGAAUUAUUACAAGCAGCUAGUCAGUUGGAACAUCAAUUUUGGCAUUUGGCUAAUCGUCUUUCUCAUGUCUGCAAUGCUGAAAAAAUUCUUAGAGGAAAUGGCCAAAUUGAAAAGAUCUGUAUGGAAAAAUUAUACCAAUAUGCUGAAAAUCAUUGUGUGAUAUUACGACUUCAGUAUAUGUGGCGGACAGAUGUAAAGUCAAAUGAAAUGACUUAAACUUGAUUUUUAUUUUUCCAUAUACUUUUUUGACAAACAACGUAUAAUCGAGAAUGACAAUUAUGAAAUUAAACUGCAUUUUCCUAGAACUUGAAUGAUGCCCACAGGAAAAAGUCACAUGGGGUUAGGACCUUCAACGAGUGCAAUCACAUCACUAACUGUCUGUGCAGACACUGGUUUUACCCUCUACCAGGCCGAAUGGUAAGGAUCAAAUUUCUUUAUCAAGUCUUUCAAUACAUUAAUUGAUAGAGGACCUCUAUGCAGGUUGUUACGGGUUCUAAACUCAUGAAGAGUGCCCGGUAUGCUCGAUUGGUUAAGAUGAUAAAGUUUCACAAGCAACUCAUGCUGAGGUAACAAAAGUUGCAUGUUGAACUCUGCUGAAGUCUGGAAUGUGCUUCAAACUUUUGUCCUUGUCUUUUAAGCUCAAAUUAGGUGGCACUGCUGUUGACCACGUCAUUGUGAAUUUGGAUUUUGAGGUGUUACCAGCAUGUUAUGCAAAUUUUUAGUUGUUUCACUACAGCAGUGCCAAAUCCAUCCAUACUGGCGAAUUUAGGUACUACUUUUUUUCUUUGUGGAAUCUCUUUCCCGUGUUGUCCUUAGUCACUCUCCCAAAUUUGGCGACAGUCCGGCUGUUAGACUGCUCUACAGAUGUCUCUGAGUACCAUCAGUUUAAAAAAAACACCCUGUAUAUAUAUUAUUUAAAGAAUAAUAUAGUUUUAGUAUUAUACUCACGCCAAGUAAUAGUAGUAAUAAAAUAAAUUUUUAUUGUGUACGUACACAGUGAAAAUCUAUUUUACUAUUAAAAGAAUAAUGUUUAAAUUUCACAUAUUAUAUGAAAAAAAUUUUAUAAUUUUUUCCAACAUUUAAUAAAGAGUGAAGUAUGUGAUUUUAUCUUUCUCUGAAUUCACUUCCUUUCAAAGGCAAUGCAUCUUCUGAAUGUGUCACCAGGAACCAGAAUUCAUCUAUUGGAUAUAGACUGUAAUAUUACCAAGACCUCAAAAUAAAAGAAAGGGAUUGAUGACAACAGACAGUGUGUUCAUUGAUCAUCCCGAAUCGGUUGGAGUCAAGGUUCGCUAUCUAGUCGGUUAUCAGCCUCAACCUUCUCAGUUCUCCUGCCGUUCCACUAUUUUGGAUAUUGGAUGAUUUAAUCUUGAAGACAUCCACGUAUCUGGAAAGCUAUCCCUCGUCCAGGGACAUCUUACCAACAUUUGUACCUCUACCUAAUCUUCGGAACUUCUCCAGCGCCACACAUCACCCAUCCACAAUCACCACCUGUCACACCUCUGGAAGUCCCCAGAAAGGGUUCAUCUCUAAAAAUUCUAAUGUAUUUA
rnacentral:misc_RNA from 1 species